CUUUUCAGUAGUUUACUACAGAAAAUGACUGAGCGGCGAACGGGUGAGUAACGCGUGAGCAAUCUACCUUAGUUACAGGGAUAGCCCGAGGAAACUCGGAUUAAUACCUGAUAUUCUUUAUAUUUCGCAUGAAAUUAAAAGGAAAGGUCAGCCGAACUAAGAUGAGCUCGCGUUCUAUCAGCUAGUUGGUGAGGUAAAAGCUCACCAAGGCUACGACGGAUAGCUGGUCUGAGAGGACGAUCAGCCACACUGGGACUGAGACACGGCCCAGACUCCUACGGGAGGCUGCAGCAGGGAAUAUUGUGCAAUGAACGAAAGUUUGACACAGCGACACCGCGUGUGGGAUGACGGAUCUAGGUUUGUAAACCACUUUCAGGAGGGAAGAAAAUGACGGUACCUCCACAAGAAGCCCCGGCCAACUACGUGCCAGCAGCCGCGGUAAUACGUAGGGGGCGAGCGUUGUCCGGAUUUAUUGGGCGUAAAGAGCUCGUAGGCGGUUCAACAAGUCGUUCGUGAAAGUUCAGGGCUCAACCCUGAAAUGUCGAUCGAUACUGUUGUGACUAGGAUACGGUAGAGG
rnacentral:rRNA from 1 species